GCCAGACUCCUACGGGAGGCAGCAGUGAGGAAUAUUGGUCAAUGGGCGGGAGCCUGAACCAGCCAAGUCGCGUGAGGGAAGACGGUCCUACGGAUUGUAAACCUCUUUUGCCGGGGAGCAACGGGGUCCUUGCGAGGGCCCAAUGAGAGUACCCGGAGAAAAAGCAUCGGCUAACUCCGUGCCAGCAGCCGCGGUAAUACGGAGGAUGCGAGCGUUAUCCGGAUUUAUUGGGUUUAAAGGGUGCGUAGGCGGACGCCAAAGUCGGGGGUAAAUUCGGGGGGCUAAACCUCGCCCCGCCGUUGAAACUGGCGUUCUUGAGUGGGCGAGAAGUAUGCGGAAUGCGUGGUGUAGCGGUGAAAUGCUUAGAUAUCACGAAGAACUCCGAUUGCGAAGGCAGCCUACUAAACUGCCACUGACAUUGAUGCUCGAAAGUGUGGGUAUCAAACAGGAUUAGAUACCCUUGUA
rnacentral:rRNA from 1 species